GGUCAGGACGAACGCUGGCGGCGUGCCUAAUACAUGCAAGUCGAACGGCUUUUCUAUGGAAGCUUGCUUCCACUGAGAAGAUAGUGGCGAACGGGUGAGUAACACGUGGGUAACCUGCCCAUAAGAGGGGGGAUAACAUCCGGAAACGGGUGCUAAUACCGCAUAGUUUUCUUGAUCGCAUGAUUGAGAAAGGAAAGACGGCCUUUGUGCUGUCGCUUAUGGAUGGACCCGCGGCGUAUUAGUUAGUUGGUGAGGUAACGGCUCACCAAGACGAUGAUACGUAGCCGACCUGAGAGGGUGAUCGGCCACAUUGGGACUGAGACACGGCCCAAACUCCUACGGGAGGCAGCAGUAGGGAAUCUUCCGCAAUGGACGAAAGUCUGACGGAGCAACGCCGCGUGAGUGAAGAAAGGUUUUCGGAUCGUAAAACUCUGUUGUCAGAGAAGAACAAGUUGGAGAGUAACUGCUCCAGCCUUGACGGUAUCUGACCAGAAAGCCACGGCUAACUACGUGCCAGCAGCCGC
rnacentral:rRNA from 1 species